GCCAUAAUGGUGUAGUGGUUUGAGUGCUGGACUAUGGUUCUGGAGGCCAGAGUUCAAAUGCCUGUUUGGCU